GCCACUGGUUCAUUCUGUUUGUUACCUGAAUCCAUGCUUCUGUCAUGUUCUGUGGGACUAGGAUACUAGUGGAGGCAACAAGCAUGGAGACAGAAUGAAAGUUUGAACAAGUUUAUCCUCAGGAAGUGACAGCUGCUCGAUCAGCUGGGGGCCACAGCGUGUUGAAGCACUGAAGAAAAGGCGAGCGUGAGUUAUGGAGGCAAGUGAAUGGUGGGUUGAGAUGAUGCUUUCUUGGGAGUAGAAAAUGUUCCAUGAGAAGUAAGCCACGGAGACUGAGUUUUGGCAGACUGAAUUAAGCUGCAAGGAGUUCCUUCCAGGAGGUCUAGGGAAAUGAGAGAAGGCUUCAAGUGAUACAUACAUCCACUGGAUAAAGGAUGGGACGAAGACUGAGAAACCAGGCAAGUGUCCUUAGAGCAAUAACUUUGAGGAAGGAGCAGCACCGCCAAGCAGGUUAAGAGCUUUUCUUGAUUGCUCCUUGAUGAGCAACAGCUGUAUGGCUGCUCCUGCCUGUCUCACCCUGUGGAAAAAAGAAGUGAAAAAUUUUCCUGCACGUUGGAGAAGAUCUGAUUUAAAGGCUCUCUUUUGAGGGGAGAAAUCUGAGGAAUGCAUCUGAGACGUAGAUACAGGGAAAACAAUACUGACAUGGUGCCGACCCAAACUGACAGAAACAAGGACAGAGUGGACUGUUCAGAGGCAGACACGACUCCUACCAGACACAGGUAUUCUCUACUCGAUGUUAAGGUCAGUUAAAAUAUUAAUCCAUGCUUUGAUUGUGUAUUUAUUGAUCCUUUAAGUGUUAAAAUUUUUGUGUUAAUUCCAAACUUAUAUGUGCUGUCUAAAUCUUAUUUUGGUAAAUUACUGGAUCAACAAGUAAUCUGCUUUUUCACAAUAAGCCUGAGUAGUGAGUAAAGCAAUAUGUUCAACUGUAGGUAAGAAAUAUUAAUCUUCAACAGUUUAAUAAUCGAAAUAAGCUAUACACCAACUAUGGAUCUUUACAAAGUCGUUAAACAUGAUCUGGAAUAACCAGACUAUAAGCCAUAAACCUGACUACUUAAAUACCAUAAGCCAUAACCAUCCUGGACAGUAAUCUUGUUUUUUUUUUUUUACUGCUCUUAAUAUCGACAAGAAUCCUGUGCUUCUGCUGUCAGCUGUCCAUCAGACACUUUUACCUUCAGAGACAAAUGUGUAGGUUUUGUCUCAGGAGAAACUCCUUGGGGGAGGAGGACACAUAUAUUUUGCCUGUCAGAGACUGAAAAAGAGAAGCACCGGGGGCCAACAACAGACAACUGUGGCUGAGAGCAAAUUUCCUCAGAGCUUCCCAAACCCUAGCGAGACGGCCGCCGUCUUGCUGUCAGCUACACAAAAGGAGACAAAUAGUGAACGCAGCACAGCCGGAGCUUGAGCUCACUAUUGAUUGUUACUUUAAGUGAUUGCUCGACCUACCAGGACUAUAUAGACUCUGCUUGCACCUGAAGUGGAAACAGACAGUAAGCCCCACUCAGGUAGAAGAGGGAGGGAAAGAUACCAGUAGCCUGAAAGUGAUUCAAAGAGAGCAGGCAGGAAGUUUUUCUUCCUUCCCUCUGGUCAUCAAGCUGGCUGGUGCACCCAUGGCGUUCACCUUCGCGGCCUUCUGCUACAUGCUCACCUUGGUACUGUGUGCUGGGCUCAUCUUCUUUGUCAUAUGGCAGAUCAUUGCGUUUGAUGAACUCCGCACAGACUUCAAAAACCCCAUUGAUCAGAGCAAUCCCACCAGAGCGAGAGAAAGGAUCUUGAACAUCGAACGGAUCUGCAACCUGCUCCGCAGAUUGGUGGUACCAGAGUACUCCAUCCACGGCCUCUUCUGCUUGAUGUUCAUGUGUGCUGGAGAGUGGGUCACACUUGGCCUCAAUAUACCGCUGCUCUUCUACCAUCUGUGGAGGUACGGUCCCACAGCAGAUGUCUGAUCACUGUGUGUUGAACCGAUGACCCAAAACCGCUGUUCUUUCAGGUUUUUGCAUCGACCAGCUGACGGGUCAGAGGUGAUGUAUGAUCCCGUCAGUGUGAUGAAUGCUGACAUUCUCAACUACUGUCAGAAGGAGUCCUGGUGUAAGCUAGGCUUCUACUUGCUCUCUUUCUUCUAUUACUUGUACAGUAUGGUCUACGCCUUGGUGAGCUUCUAACAAGUGAUGUAAAGAUCUAACUUGAAGGACCUUUAUGAUAUCCAAAACAGAUGGAGGCAAACUCUUCUUCUUUUCAUGUUUGCUGACUUUUUUGGCCAUCUUUUGGGCAAAAUAAGAAGACCGAUCUGACUGAAUGUGAGUGUGAUGGUGUUACUUAAGAUCUAUUUUAACCCUUCAUCCCAGAAACCACAGUCAGAUGCCUGGAGAAAAACAGCUCUGAAAGACUGAAAAGAAACAAAAAGAGGAUGUUUGAGAUGCCUUUGACCCAAUACACCAUUUACAAAUA